CUUUCCUUUUUUCCUUCUUGCAACACCCGGUAGCAGCAAUAAAGGUAAAAGCUCUGGAAUUUUUCUCCGACCCGCUCCCUCGAUUCUCUCAGAAAACCCUACUACCGAUUUUCCAUCUCUAUCUCUCUCUCUCUCACUUUAAAUGCUGGAGGAGAGAGCUCUUCUUUGGAUUCGCAAAUCUCAACGAGUUCACGUUUUCAAAGGCGGACCCGUUUGGUUAUUGCGUUCGCAUCGGAUCUAGGGUUUCUUUUACUUUCUCGCUUCCCGUUUUAUCGAUUUAAGAAUAGUUAUUGAGCUCUCCAUCUACAUUCAUAUGACAGUGGCAAAGAUGUAUAGGAUCGAGAUCGUUCAUCUGCUAGGCCCCUGUUUGGAUGGGCUACACCUAUAAACUUACACUGGUGGGAUGAAUUUAUCCUCUGAUUUGAUGAUUUAUGUUGAUUAGAAACCGAUGG